GUGCCAGCCGCCGCGGUAAUACGGAGGGUGCAAGCGUUAUCCGGAAUCACUGGGUUUAAAGGGUGCGUAGGCGGCUUAGUAAGUCAGUGGUGAAAGGCUGUGGCUUAACCAUGGAAUUGCCAUUGAUACUGCUGAGCUUGAAUAAGGUUGAGGUUGGCGGAAUGUGACAUGUAGCGGUGAAAUGCUUAGAUAUGUCAUGGAACACCGAUUGCGAAGGCAGCUGACUGGACCUGCAUUGACGCUGAGGCACGAAAGCGUGGGGAGCGAACAGGAUUAGAAACCCCAGUAGUCC
rnacentral:rRNA from 1 species